UGAAAACCUGGGAAAUAGAGAUGGAGGCAACAAGAAGUCAUAACUGUCCAUCCAGAGCAUGGCUCAAUGCGAGCAGAUACACUGCUGCUAAAUGUCCUGCAGGCUCACACAGCUGGAAUGGGCCUCCGGUGCUGAUUUUCUGUGCUGGCAAACUAUGUUUUGCAGAGAAAGUAAGUCAGGUUCACAACACUUCUGUGUUUUUUGUCAUAAUGAGCGAGCUAUAAUGCUAAAUUAAAGCCGAGUGCCAUAAAACGGAGACAGACACAUUUUCACCUUGGAAAGCUGUCAGUGCAGGCCAAAGAGCAGCGUAAUGAUACAGACAAUACAAACCAUGGGGAGCUGCAGACCUACAGCAGCACCAGCCAGCACAGCCCUGCUCUGAAACGUGGGCUUACUGUGAGUACGCUGCAGGACUAACAGCAUGCACUGGGCUAAGAAUUCAGAACGAGGAAGGCAGCGAAGCCACAACGGGUGAGGUCUGGUUGACUGCUUCAUGGUUAAGAGUGUCCUACCUUCUCUGUUCUCUUUACAUGACAAAGCAGUGAGUAUUCGUCGUCAGGCUGUGACUAAUCAGAAAAUCCACCACCAAACCGCAUUACAAAACACCAACCCAAACCAAAACCAACCAAACGCUAAUAAAUAAUGGUUAUCAGAUGGUCACUAAUGAAGGUGAAUGACUUCAAACUCUCCCGGGGACACCUUCAGAAGCCAUCCUACCUGGAGGAAGAGAACCUGGGAGAAUGACAGACUUCAUCAAAACCUGAGGCUGGCAGCUUGCUAAGAAUGUGAGCUAAUUAUAAAAAGCCCUUUUUUUCUAAGCCCUGACGUUACAGAGUUGGGCUCUGGCAGCAGCCCCAUUGGUUCCGCUGCUCUGUCACGUUCCUCCCAUCUCCAGAGGUAGCCUUUAUCCUGCACACUGCAGCAAACAAUAACAUCCAAGUACAGAGACCUAAAAAUAACUGAGGUUUUAGUGCACAGUGUCUGCAAAACGCAAAGGGCGCUGUGAAAUAAACAGCUCAACAUCCCCCUGUUAACACAGCCCCUUUUUGUUGCAGCUUGUCAAUCACUCUUCCAGCUCACCUGUCAGCUUUGUUCCGACUGAUCAAACCCAACGUGCUCUUAAGGAGAGCAGAACUGCUUUUCUCAGACUUUCUGCUGUAAAAGAAUUCCAGUAAAUGCUGCCCAGAAACCCAUUUGACCACCCCAGACGAGCAGAGAACAUUUCUUAAUGGGGAAGAGAACAUUUUAUUAGAAGAAUCUGACACUGACUUUUCAGAGUGAAAUUCCAAGGGCUGACAAAGCUGUUUGCAGAAAGGAGGG
ensembl:lncRNA